GACGAACGCUGGCGGCGUGCUUAACACAUGCAAGUCGAACGAAGAGCGAUGGCAGCUUGCGUCUAUCAAUGUUAGUGGCGGACGGGUGAGUAACGCGUAAUCAACCUGCCCUUCAGAGGGGGACAACAGUUGGAAACGACUGCUCAUACCGCAUACGAUCUAAUCUCGGCAUCGAGGAUAGAUGAAAGGUGGCCUCUACAUGUAAGCUAUCACUGAAGGAGGGGAUUGCGUCUGAUUAGCUAGGUGGAGGGGGAACGUCCAACCAAGGCGAUGAUCAGUAGCCGGUUUGCGAGGAUGGUCAGCCACAUUGUGACUGAGACACGGCCCAGCGGCAUACGGGAGGCAGCAGUGGGGAAUCUUCCGCAAUGGACGUAAGUCUGACGGAGCAACGCCGCGUGAGGUAGGACUGCCUUCGGGUUGUAAAGCACGGUUAAUCGGGACGAAAGGCCUUCUUGCGAACAGUUAGAAUGAUUGACGGUACCGGAAUAGAAAGCUACGGCUAACUACGUG
rnacentral:rRNA from 1 species